rnacentral:rRNA from 1 species
GACGAACGCUGGCGGCGUGCUUAACACAUGCAAGUCGAACGGAAAGGCCCUGCUUUUGUGGGGUGCUCGAGUGGCGAACGGGUUAGUAACACGUGAGUAACCUGCCCUUGACUUUGGGAUAACUUCAGGAAACUGGGGCUAAUACCGGAUAGGAGCUCCUGCUGCAUGGUGGGGGUUGGAAAGUUUCGGCGGUUGGGGAUGGACUCGCGGCUUAUCAGCUUGUUGGUGGGGUAGUGGCUUACCAAGGCUUUGACGGGUAGCCGGCCUGAGAGGGUGACCGGACACAUUGGGAAUGAGAUACGGCCCAGACUCAUACGGGAGGAAGCAGUGGGGAAUAUUGCACAAUGGGCGGAAGCCUGAUGCAGCAACGCCGCGUGCGGGAUGACGGCCUUCGGGUUGUAAACCGCUUUCGCCUGUGACGAAGCGUGAGUGACGGUAAUGGGUAAAGAAGCACCGGCUAAAUACGUG